CUGAACCAGUCGUGAACCUGACGACGGGACGAGUCGUGAACCAGUCGUGAACCUGACGACGGGACGAGUCGUGAACCAGUUGUGAACCUGACGACGGGACGAGUCGUGAACCAGUCGUGAACCUGACGACGGGACGAGUCGUGAACCAGUCGUGAACCUGACGACGGGACGAGUCGUGAACCAGUUGUGAACCUGACGACGGGACGAGUCGUGAACCAGUUGUGAACCUGGCGACGGGACGAGUCGUGAACCAGUCGUGAACCUGACGACGGGACGAGUCUCUGACGACGCCACGAACAAACAUUUGAGAUGAGCAGGUGAACCACGUGGUCCUGACGAGGAGCCUCGCGGGGACGCGCACAGCUGAAGAGCGCAGAGGCAAAACUUCACCGCCAGAGAUAUUCAGGUGGAAGUGGAUGGACGACGUGACACGGACUUGGCGACUGCCUGGAUCUUCACCUGGACGUCUUGAUGGACGGUCCCCUGCCUGCUUCCUGUGUUGAUGUGGAUCCCUGCUGAGAACCUGUCACAGCUCAAGAAGAGAAUACGUCACUGCAAGAAAUAUUAAGGAAGAAUUUAAUCAUAAACAGACAGUUUGUAUGAAAAUCACAAUACAGUUAUGGUGUUAAAUAUUUAUCUUUGUCUGUCAGCAGGAUGAAAAGCUCCUGAUCUGGAGAAAGGGGCGGAGCCAGGGAUGUUAAGUUUCUUUCUUUAACAUUUUUUAACAUGAUUUUUCACAGAAUAAUUCAUGGAUCUAGAUGAAUGAGACAGAACAAUAAAACAUGGUCAAAGAAUUAAGAAAAAUAGUUUUGUUCAUUUCAAAGUUAAAUCAUCAAUGUGGUGAACUUUAGGAGGCUCGAUCUAUAGUUGGUAAAGAUAUGAAUGAUGAUUACCACUGUUAAUAUCAUAACAUCCAGCGUGUUGUAUGGACAAAAAGGAGCUCCUUAAGAAAAUAUCAUUCUUAACAUAAAAACAAUAACAGUCCAUUUCUGUUCAUUGUAGUUUAAAUGUUCUGUCAGUCGGUGUGUUGGUUGGUCUGUAGGUGGGUGAGUCUGUUGGUCGAUACGUUAAUCUGUCUGUAAGUUGAUCCGUCGGUCUGUUGGUCGAUACGUCGGUCUGUCGGGCAGUUGAUCUGUUGGUUGAUACGUCUGUCGGUCAGUUGGUCUGUUGAUCCGUCGGUCUGUUGGUUGAUACGUUUCUGUCGGUCGGUCUGUUGGUCGAUACGUUGGUCGGUUGGUCUGUUGGUCGAUACGUUUGUCGGUCGGUCUGUUGAUCCGGCGGUUGCUUGGUUGGUCUGUUGGUUGAUACGUUUAUCUGUCGGUCAGUUGAUCCGUCGGUCUGUUGGUUGAUACGUUUAUCUGUCGGUCAGUUGAUCCGUCGGUCUGUUGGUCGAUACGUUUCUGUCUGUUGGUCGAUACGUCGGUCUGUUGGUCUGUUGAUCCGUCGGUUGCUUGGUUGGUCUGUUUUGUUGAUCGGUCUUGUCGGAGUUCAUGUAGUUUCUGGACUGGAGGUUUCUCCUCCUGCAGUUAAACCAUCACACUGACACAGAUUUAUUGAUUUUAAGUGAGUUGGAUCAAACCAGAAAAAAAAUCUCCAAAGAAUUAAAUCACUGAACAUAAAUUACAUCCACAGUCUGACCCAUAACAAAAUGAGAUUACAGUGCGACUGAAGGAAAGGUUGACCUCUGUUACCUACAUUUUUAUUAGUUACUUCUCUACCUGUGCAUCUCAAUAACUCGUUCUUCUCUCUUCCUUCGAGGUAAAUGGUGAACUGUGUGGACGACGUGACACGGACGGUCCCCUGCCUUCUGUCUGUACUUUACUCUGGUUAGAUUACAGAAUGAGCACAGAGGAAGUGACAUCAAUCUUUCGCUAAAGGAAUCCCAUUUGUCUCUGUGAUCAUCAGGUGUUGAUGUGGAUCCCUGCUGAGAACCUGUCACAGCUCAAGAAGAGAAUACUUCACUGUAAGAAAUAUUAAGCAGGAUGAAAAGUUCGUGAACAUAGAUCUGGACAAAGGGGCGGAGCCAGGGAUGGCUUGUGGUGGCUGCAGAGUCACUACAUCCCCUCCCACAUGUUAGACAUCAAGUUACUGUGCAUUAUAUAUGUUUACCUACUGCGGGAGAUGGUUACUACAUUUUAACACAGCAGGGAAUUGAUAAUAAUUUUGAUCUGUUAUUUCUCAAUAACUUGUCUUUUUCCUCUUCCUAUGAAACUAAAGUGGAUGUGACACUGACUCACCUGGACCUUUGCCGGGGCCUGGAGACAUGCUUCCUGUCUGUGAUCAUUCUGUAAUCUGACAUCAUCGAGCUAAAGGAAUCCCAUUUGUCUCUGUGAUCAUCAGGUGUUGAUGUGGAUCCCUGCUGAGAACCAGUCACAGCUCAAGAAGAGAAUACUUCACUGCAAGAAAUAUUAAG